GGAUUAUGUCACCUUUCCUCAAUCUUCUAUUUUCUAUUAGAUCCUGCAUUGAAGUACAUAUUUAAGCACUCGAAUCAGAGUCCAAUACCAAACUAGAAGUAAAAGAAAUCAUAAGGUUAGAUUCAAUUACGAGCAUACCUUCUGCAUAUUUGUCAUCUUUUUUGAUCUUUAAGCUAUCCAGAUAAAGUGGACAGUUCCUCCUCCAGUGGCCUUUAGCACCACAAUGAAAACACUUUCUUUUAUUUCAGCCUUCUUUGGAAUGUUCUUCUUUGGCUUGCUCUCUUUCUUCUGUUUCUUUGCAGAUUUAGUCUUCUUCUUUCAACUAGACUUUCUCUUGAAAGAAAUCUGCUCCAC
rnacentral:lncRNA from 1 species